CAGCUAUUUAAUUUCUGUCUUGAAAAAGUUUGGACGCGUCCAUGUAAUGUGAAGGAAAAAGUCCCACAUCAUCGUUUCAGAAGAAGAAGCAUACAUAUAUAAGAUGAAGCACUGAGUGUAAAGAGCACGACCUUACUUGAACAGGAUCUGUUCUAUAGGCUCGUACCUCUGAAUCCUUGAGUUCUAAGGAGACAGGAAACUAAGUCUGGUGGAUGAUUUACGACCGUGCGAUUAGAGCGUGAUUAAUAGCUACCGUUGAUCUUCGUGAUCUCCUGGUGCAGUAGAUGAUCGUUCUCAUGCUCCUCUGUGAGCUUGAGAUGAUCACACGGUGUUCUGACAGACUCCCUUUUUUUUUGUUUUUUAUUGUAUCUUUAAAUAGUAAAAUCUUUGCAUAAUUGUUAUUUUUUGGCAAUUUUCUGGGUUGAGAGAAGUUUCUAGAGUGAGAAAAAUGAAGGGAAGAUUAGGAGGAGGAAAAACAAUAACAGGAACUCCGUCGAUGGGUUGGUCGUGUGUGGUGGUUGUUUUCUCUCUCCUCGGUGGUGCCUCCAUUGUUCAUAAUCUUUAUAAACCUGACCUUACGUUGCCGCCUAUUGAAGAAGUGAGUAAGAAUAAGCAAAUAGAGAAGCAGUGAUUGCAUCUACAUCAUCUAACUGCACGUCCUCUUGUCGGGCGGCUUUUAGCAUGUUCAACAUGUUCCAUGGAACAGGGCCCCUUAAUUGUGAGGGCCCCAAAAUAGAGAAAGUUCAAGUAGUAAAAAGAAAAAGUUUAUCUACUUAUUUGGACUACUUUUUUCCAAAAUAUGAUUAUGUGAAGUAUGGAUGAGCUAUUACAUUAUUGAAUUCUUCAAAUACGAGAUCGCACAGGGCCUCUAUAUAGUUUGAGACGGGCCUGCUGACUCGAAUAUUAUCUUUGAAAAAUGUACAAUUUAUCAAUGAAAAAUGUAAGUUCGUUCAACUCAGCAAUGAAAAAUGUUAUCAGACUAUUUAUCUUUGAAUAGUGCUAAGAACCUGAUUGGGAUGUACAAUUUUUUUUCUUUUAUAGAAGUAAUUGAGUUUGGUGAAUGUUU